GACGUCGAAUAUCGACGUCAUCAACACCAAACUGGUUCGUGUUUGUGACGUCGAAUAUCGACGUCAUAAACACCAAACUUGAUCGUGUUUACGACGUCGAAUAUCGACGUCAUAAACAGGAAACUUGUUCGUGUUUAUGACGUCGAAUAUCGAUGUCAUAAACACCAAAGUUGAUCAUAUUUAUGACGUCGAAUAACGACGUCAUCAACACCAAACUUGUUCGUGUUGAUGACGUCGAAUAUCGACGUC
rnacentral:miRNA from 1 species